UGGAGGUACGGCGCGACCAGGGGCGCGACCUCGUCGCAGGAGGUGAUCGGACGCAGGGUCGGUGAGCCGUUCGAGCCGCCGGCCUUCGACC
rnacentral:tRNA from 1 species